rnacentral:rRNA from 1 species
CUCCUUUGACGUUAGCGGCGGACGGGUGAGUAACACGUGGGUAACCUACCUAUAAGACUGGGAUAACUUCGGGAAACCGGAGCUAAUACCGGAUAACAUUUGGAACCGCAUGGUUCUAAAGUGAAAGAUGGUUUUGCUAUCACUUAUAGAUGGACCCGCGCCGUAUUAGCUAGUUGGUAAGGUAACGGCUUACCAAGGCAACGAUACGUAGCCGACCUGAGAGGUUGGUCGGCCACAUUGGGACUGAGAUACGGCCCAG